rnacentral:rRNA from 1 species
AACGAACGCUGGCGGCGUGCUUAACACAUGCAAGUCGAACGUGAAAGUCUUUCGGGAUGAGUAAAGUGGCGCACGGGUGAGUAAUACAUAAGAACGUACCUAUCGGUGGGGAAUAACGUCGGGAAACCGACGCUAAUACCGCAUGAAGUCGCAAGACCAAAGGGGGCCUCUCCAUGGAAGCUCUCGCCAAUAGAUCGGCUUAUGUCCCAUUAGCUAGUUGGUAGGGUAAAGGCCUACCAAGGCUAUGAUGGGUAGCUGGUCUGAGAGGAUGAUCAGCCACACUGGAACUGAGACACGGUCCAGACUCCUACGGGAGGCAGCAGUGGGGAAUCUUGCACAAUGGGCGAAAGCCUGAUGCAGCAACGCCGCGUGAGUGAAGAAGGUUCUUGGAUUGUAAAGCUCUUUCGGCUAGAAAGAAGGGCUGUGUAAUUAAUACUUACAUAGUCUGACGGUACUAGAAGAAGAAGCACCGGCUAAUUCCGUGCCAGCAGCCGCAGUAA